GCUCAGUGGUAGAGCACUUGCCUGACAUAUAUGAGGCCCUGGGUUUAAUUCCCAG
rnacentral:tRNA from 1 species